AGAGAGUGAAAAUGUUUAUCAAGUUGUCGCUGAGCUUUCCCAGGACACAGAAAAUAAACUGAAGCUCCUAACCCAAAACUGGGAGAGAUUUGUGGCUAAGGCCAAUUUACCCAGGGAGGAGGCAGAGGCAUUACAUGAAUAUCUGAACAGGCUGAAAACAAACUUGAGUGGAAAGGACCCAGAGACACUCAAAGAAGACCAGCUGGACAGAAAGAAGUUUUUGGAGGAGUUUCCUGUGAUGAAACAGGACCUGGAGGAAGACACAGAAAAAAAUCCAUGCUUUUGCGAACAAAGUUGACAAGUUACACAAGGACUGCACGAUUUCCAAGGUGGUGGCCCACUCCACUGGCACUGUGUCUGGCAUCCUCAGUGUCCUUGGCCUGGCUCUGGCACCUCUGACAAUGGGGGCCACUCUGCCUCUCAUGGCCACUGGGUUAGUGCUGGGCAUAGCGGCUGCUGUGACCAAUGUGUCCACCAGCAUCGUGGAACAAGUAAACACGUCAUCAAUGGAAAUCAAAACCACUCAACUGCUGUCCCAUGACAGGAAGAGAUGGAAGGUAAUCAAGGAUGUACUCCUUAAAAGGAAACCUCAAAUUAUUUCUGCAAUGAAUUCACUCAUCACUGCCCUACAAUACACUGAGAAGCAAGUCCAAUUCAUCAAGGUGAUCAAAGCCAGCCCUGCCUUAGCAGCCAAAGUCAAGAUCUUUAUAAUGAAAGGUAAAAACAUCAUUCAUGGCAGUGUUCAGGUGCGGAAAACUUUUGGCAGCAUGGCUUUAGCAAUGACAAAAGAAGCCCGUGUCACUGGCAUAGUCCUGUCAGGUAUCAGCAUUGUGAUAAAUGUGGGCUUCCUGGUGAAAGAGUCAAUACAUUUACAUCGUGGAGCAAAGGCAGAGUCAGCUGAAAAGCUGAGGCAGCAGGCCCAGGAGUUGGAAAGCAUAUUGGAGUUACUCACUGAGAUCCAUGAGAAUCUGCAGAAGGGCUCAGUUCCCCCACCCCCAGAGGAGUGCAGGGACCAGGGACAUGUGCUGGGUGUCUCAGAGGCAGCUUGUUAGAGGAGAAAAGGAGGGGAGACAACAUUGAUGGUCCUGGGUGUUAGGAAUUUGGCAUUUCUGGAGCUGAGCAAGGGAGGGAUGGAUGCAGGUGGCAGAUGAUGACAAAGCAAGAGCCUGGAGCCUGGACUAAGGGAGGAGGGGGGCUAAAGAGUGAGGGGGGGGGAGAAACCACUUCUUUUGGACUGAAGAACACACUGGUGGUACAAUAAAGAGAAAGGCAGGUGGAACUAGCUGUGGAAGGCCAGGAAUACGAAAGAGUUGAAAAUGAGAGAAAGUCAAAGGGUGAGGACUGUUGGGAUCCAGGAGAAGUAGCCAGGGCUCCUCUAUUGCCCUCCUCAGGGUGUGCCGUCCCAGCAAGAAGAGUCGCCCCCUGGUGGUGUUCUCUAGCCCCAUGUCUCCAGCAUCACCUCACCUUCGAUUCCAGCAGGUUGUUAUUAAUUAGGCAGUGAUUCUUUUGUUUGUUUGUUUGUUUUUAUUGAAGUGUAGGUGACUUACGGUAUUGUGUGGGUUUCUGGUGUGCAGCCAAAUGUAUUGAUUAUACAUAUAGUUUUGUGUGCUGUACAGUAAAUCUUGAUUGCUUAUCUAUUUCAUGUAUGGUAAUGUGCACUUGUUCAUCACAUAUUCCCAUUUACCCUUCCUCCCCUUUCUUAUUUUGUACCAUCAGUUUGUUUUCUUUGUCUGUGAGUCUGUUUCUGUUUUGUAAAUAAGUUCAUUUGUACUACUUUUUAGAUUCCACAUACAAUUGAGAUCAUACAAUAUUUGUCUUUCUCUGAAUGACUUACUUCAUUUACAAUAAUCUCUAUGUCAAUCCAAGCAGCUAAAAACAGCAUUAUUUUAUUCUUUUGGGUACUAUUCCAACUAUUUCACAUCUUUUUUCAUCUAUUGAUGGACACUUAGGUUGCUUCCAUGCCAUUAUAAAUAGUGCUGCUCUGAACACUGGAGUGCAUGCUACUUUUUGAAUUGGAGCUUUUGUCUUUUGCAGAAGUGCUGACUCAUACAAUAACUCUACACUUAGUUUUUUAAGGAGACUCCAUGCUUUUCCAUGGGCUUCCCAGGUGACUCAGUGGUAAAGAAUCCGCCUGUCAAUACAGGAGACGUGUGUUUGAUUCCUGGGUUGGGAAGAUCCCCUGGAGAAGGAAAUGGCAAUCCACUCCAGUAUUUUUGGAAAUAUUCCAUGGAAAUGUCCUGGAAAUGUUCCAUGGACAAAGGAGUCUGGCAGUCCAUGAGGUCACUAAGAGCCAGACAUGACUAACGACUAACACUGGAUCUCCUCACCUUGUGUUCUCAAGACUUUAUUCCAAUAAAUAGGACUGAUUCACUGAG